rnacentral:rRNA from 1 species
CGGUUAAGUCCGGCAACGAGCGCAACCCACAUUCUAGUUGCCAGCAUUCAGUUGGGCACUCUGGAAAACUGCCGAUGAUAAGUCGGAGGAAGGUGUGGAUGACGUCAAGUCCUCAUGGCCCUUACGGGUUGGGCUACACACGUGCUACAAUGGCAGUGACAAUGGGUUAAUCCCAAAAAGCUGUCUCAGUUCGGAUUGGGGUCUGCAACUCGACCCCAUGAAGUCGGAAUCGCUAGUAAUCGCGUAACAGCAUGACGCGGUGAAUACGUUCCCGGGCCUU